ACAAGAAGCAUAUAUCACUCUGACCCUCUGCACACAGACAACAAGUCACCCACGAAGCAUCACUCUGAAGAAUGCUUUGUGAAAUACUGGCUAUGCCUUCAAUAACAGGACGAGAGGAGAGGAGGUAGAGAGAAUAUGCCUUCAAUAACAGGAAGAGAGGAGAGGAGGUAGACAGAAUAUGCCUUCAAUAACAGGAAGAGAGGAGAGGAGGUAGACAGAAUAUGUCUUCAAUAACAGGAAGAGAGGAGAGGAGGUAGACAGAAUAUGUCUUCAAUAACAGGAAGAGAGGAGAGGAGGUAGAGAGAAUAUGUCUUCAAUAACAGGAAGAGAGGAGGUAGACAGAAUAUGUCUUCAAUAACAGGAAGAGAGGAGAGGAGGUAGAGAGAAUAUGUCUUCAAUAACAGGAAGAGAGGAGAGGAGGUAGACAGAAUAUGUCUUCAAUAACAGGAAGAGAGGAGAGGAGGUAGACAGAAUAUGUCUUCAAUAACAGGAAGAGAGGAGAGGAGGUAGACAGAAUAUGUCUUCAAUAACAGGAAGAGAGGAGAGGAGGUAGAGAGAAUAUGUCUUCAAUAACAGGAAGAGAGGAGAGGAGGUAGACAGAAUAUGUCUUCAAUAACAGGAAGAGAGGAGAGGAGGUAGAGAGAAUAUGUCUUCAAUAACAGGAAGAGAGGAGAGGAGGUAGAGAGAAUAUGUCUUCAAUAACAGGAAGAGAGGAGAGGAGGUAGAGAGAAUAUGUCUUCAAUAACAGGAAGAGAGGAGGUAGACAGAAUAUGUCUUCAAUAACAGGAAGAGAGGAGAGGAGGUAGAGAGAAUAUGUCUUCAAUAACAGGAAGAGAGGAGAGGAGGUAGACAGAAUAUGUCUUCAAUAACAGGAAGAGAGGAGAGGAGGUAGAGAGAAUAUGUCUUCAAUAACAGGAAGAGAGGAGAGGAGGUAGACAGAAUAUGUCUUCAAUAACAGGAAGAGAGGAGAGGAGGUAGACAGGAUAUGUCUUCAAUAACAGGAAGAGAGGAGAGGAGGUAGACAGAAUAUGUCUUCAAUAACAGGAAGAGAGGAGAGGAGGUAGACAGAAUAUGUCUUCAAUAACAGGAAGAGAGGAGAGGAGGUAGAGAGAAUAUGUCUUCAAUAACAGGAAGAGAGGAGAGGAGGUAGACAGAAUAUGUCUUCAAUAACAGGAAGAGAGGAGAGGAGGUAGACAGAAUAUGUCUUCAAUAACAGGAAGAGAGGAGAGGAGGUAGACAGAAUAUGUCUUCAAUAACAGGAAGAGAGGAGAGGAGGUAGACAGAAUAUGUCUUCAAUAACAGGAAGAGAGGAGAGGAGGUAGAGAGAAUAUGUCUUCAAUAACAGGAAGAGAGGAGAGGAGGUAGACAGAAUAUGUCUUCAAUAACAGGAAGAGAGGAGAGGAGGUAGACAGAAUAUGUCUUCAAUAACAGGAAGAGAGGAGAGGAGGUAGACAGAAUAUGUCUUCAAUAACAGGAAGAGAGGAGAGGAGGUAGACAGAAUAUGUCUUCAAUAACAGGAAGAGAGGAGAGGAGGUAGACAGAAUAUGUCUUCAAUAACAGGAAGAGAGGAGGUAGAGAGAAUAUGUCUUCAAUAACAGGAAGAGAGGAGAGGAGGUAGACAGGAUAUGUCUUCAAUAACAGGAAGAGAGGAGAGGAGGUAGACAGAAUAUGUCUUCAAUAACAGGAAGAGAGGAGAGGAGGUAGACAGAAUAUGUCUUCAAUAACAGGAAGAGAGGAGAGGAGGUAGACAGAAUAUGUCUUCAAUAACAGGAAGAGAGGAGGUAGACAGAAUAUGUCUUCAAUAACAGGAAGAGAGGAGAGGAGGUAGACAGAAUAUGUCUUCAAUAACAGGAAGAGAGGAGAGGAGGUAGACAGAAUAUGUCUUGAAUAACAGGAAGAGAGGAGAGGAGGUAGAGAGAGUGGAGGAAGGGAGGAGUGAAGGAAGGGAGGAGUGAAGGAAGGGAGGAGUGAAGGAAGGGAGGAGUGAAGGAAGGGAGGACUGAAGGAAGGGAGGAGUGAAGGAAGGGAGGAGUGAAGGAAGGGAGGACUGAAGGAAGGGAGGACUGAAGGAAGGGAGGACUGAAGGAAGGGAGGACUGAAGGAAGGGAGGAGUGGAGGGAGA